GCCUGGCAUAGCUCAGUCAGUAGAGCAUGAGACUCCUAAUCUCAGGGUUUUGGGUUCAAGUUCCAUGUUGGGCA